UGAAUUAGGGCAUAAUAGGAAUGAAAGAGUGAAGACGGAAAGGGAAUGGAUGGUGUUGCUGCUGGGACUGUGUAGAGAGACGAGUGAAAGGAUGAUUGAGGCUGUGAAGGAGUAUCUGGAGAGAAUGCGGCGAGCAAGGUGUAGGGAUGAUUAGUCAACAGAAUACUUUUAUUUAUUUUUUGCCCCCCCUUUUUUGCCUCUUAUUCUCCUCGACAGGAGCUGCCGAUCCAAAAGCCUGGCUCUGGAGCGAUCCCGACCACUUGUAGCAUCAAGAUCAAGGCGUUGUUGUAGGUCGGGAAGGUCCUGCCACUGCUGAAGGGAGAACCAAAUCAGUGUCCUAACCCCAAACCUACGGCAGAAACCUGGCUCUUUUUGCACUGAAAGACGCCCAAUUCUUCCUGAUAGUGUUGCCAACCAGGGAGGAAGGACACGCUGCCUCUCUGCACCCUCCACGGAGGAAUUGGAUCCUGCCUCGCAUCAGCUGUCGUGACAACACCUGGUGCCAUCCAGGAAAGGACACUUAUCUUGCUGCACCUUCCAUGGAGGAAUUGGACCACGCCUCACCAGCUCUGCCCUGGCAGCACGUGGUGCCAUCCAGGGAGGGAAGUCACUGCCUCCUGCACCUUCAACAGGAAUUGAACCGUGCCCUGACAAGGGAGGGAGGACAGACUGCAUCUCCAUCUAACCUAACCUAACUAAUAAAUGUUGCCAAUCACUGUAAUAUUAUUCCUUCCAUCUAAUGUAAAUGUACUCACAUAAGUGUAAUGUUAUUCCUUCCAUCUAACCUAACCUAACUAAUGAAUGUUGCCAAUUACUUGUAAUGUUAUUAUUCCUUCCAUCUAAUUAAUGUAAAUGUACUCACAAAGUGUAAUGUUAUUCCUUUCCUUCCAUCUAAUGUAAAUGUACUCACAAAAAGUGUAAUGUUAUUCCUUCCAUGUUCUGUGGUGUACCCACAUUGUUAGUAUUUUAUAAUAAAUCAUAAUUAAAAAAGUAA